rnacentral:rRNA from 1 species
UUGACCUCGGAUCAGGUAGGGAUACCCGCUGAACUUAAGCAUAUCAAUAAGCGGAGGAAAAGAAACCAACAGGGAUUGCCUCAGUAACGGCGAGUGAAGCGGCAAGAGCUCAAAUUUGAAAGCUGGCCCCCUCGGGGUCCGCAUUGUAAUUUGCAGAGGAUGCUUCGGGAGUGGCCCCCAUCUAAGUGCCCUGGAACGGGCCGUCAUAGAGGGUGAGAAUCCCGUCUGGGAUGGGGUGCCCACGCCCGUGUGAAGCUCCUUCGACGAGUCGAGUUGUUUGGGAAUGCAGCUCUAAAUGGGUGGUAAAUUUCAUCUAAAGCUAAAUACUGGCCGGAGACCGAUAGCGCACAAGUAGAGUGAUCGAAAGAUGAAAAGCACUUUGAAAAGAGAGUUAAACAGCACGUGAAAUUGUUGAAAGGGAAGCGCUUGCGACCAGACUCGCCCACGGGGUUCAGCCGGCAUUCGUGCCGGUGUACUUCCCCGCGGGCGGGCCAGCGUCGGUUUGGGCGGCCGGUCAAAGGCCCUUGGAAUGUACCGCCCCCCGGGGCGGCUUAUAGCCAAGGGUGCCAUGCGGCCAGCCCGGACCGAGGAACGCGCUUCGGCUCGGACGC